UGUUAAUUGCAGCAAGCCUCUGGAAGAACCCAGCUGAAAUCUGCCAUCUCCUGUGCCAGGAUUUGACCUGCACUGAAAAACCCUUACUGAGUUCAAAGUCCACUUUGUCAACAAUGAAUGCAACUGGAUCUCACUUGCAUUUGAAAAGCUGACCUUCACCAGCCCUCAUUCCCAGGAGAGGUUUCUCUACCCAAGGCAUUUUGGCUUCAGUCAUGUUUGCAUCAACUGCAUCAACUAUACUGGGAAUACUCCCCUGGAAUUGCUGCAGUCCCUUUCUCCAUCCACAGUGAAUUCCAUCUAAAGGACAGCGUGCUGAAAUUGAGCUUUCCUGGCCUAGCGUUGUGUGAUUGAUAACAACUUGGAAGAAUGAUGGAGCAUGGUGGGAAAGGGAACAUGACCACUGAAGGUGUUGAAGAUUAAGUUUUCCAAAUGCAAAAGGAAGCAUUCCUGCCUUUCCACACCAGCACUCAGGAGGAGGAAAGCAGAACUAGCGAGAGGACUUGUGAUUUGGUAUGUUCUUCUUCUCUGGAAAGAAGGAAUGAAUUUCCAGUCCUAGAGAGCUAAACUCUACCACAUUACCUGGCUACAGUGUGAAAUCCCUUCAGGACAGUUUUGGAGAUGGUGAUG